rnacentral:rRNA from 1 species
UAAUGAUGGGUAGGGGAGCUUCCCAUACGGGUUGAAGCAUGACCGUAAGGACAUGUGGACAGUAUGGGAGUGAGAAUGUUGGCAUGAGUAGCGAGAUGUGGGUGAGAAGCCCACAGGCCGUAACCCCGACGUAUCCGGGGGAAGGCUCGUCCGCCCUGGGUUAGGCGGGACCUAAGCUGAGGCCGAAAGGCGUAGGGGAUGGACAACAGGUUGAUAUUCCUGUACUACCGAUAACCGUUUGAGAGAAGGGAUGACACAGUAGGAUAAGCUAAGCACACUGUUGGUUAUGGGUGCCCAAGCAUUGAGGCAGUCAAAGUAGGCAAAUCCGCUUUGAUAAUGCUGGGAUGUGAUGGGGAGCGAAAUUUAGUAGCGAAGUAGCUGAUUUCACACUGUCAAGAAAAGUCUCUAUCGAGGUUAAAGGUACCCGUACCGCAAACCGACACAGGUGGGUGAGGAGAGUAUCCUAAGGCCAGCGAGAGAACUGUUGUUAAGGAACUCGGCAAAAUGACCCCGUAACUUAGGGAUAAGGGGUGCCACCAUCA